rnacentral:rRNA from 1 species
GUGAGGAAUAUUGCACAAUGGGCGAAAGCCUGAUGCAGCAACGCCGCGUGAGUGAUGAAGGCCUUUGGGUCGUAAAACUCUGUCCUUGGGGAAGAAAAAAAUGACGGUACCCUUGGAGGAAGCCCCGGCUAACUACGUGCCAGCAGCCGCGGUAAUACGUAGGGGACAAGCGUUAUCCGGAAUUAUUGGGCGUAAAGAGUGCGUAGGUGGUUUUGUAAGCGUAGGGUGAAAGGCAGUAGCUCAACUAUUGUUAGCCCUGCGAACUGUGAGACUUGAGUGCAGGAGAGGAAAGUGGAAUUCCUAGUGUAGCGGUGAAAUGCGUAGAUAUUAGGAGGAACACCAGUGGCGAAGGCGACUUUCUGGACUGUAACUGACACUGAGGCACGAAAGCGUGGGUAGCAAACAGGAUUAGAUACCCCUGUAGUCC